rnacentral:misc_RNA from 1 species
UACGUAGGGGGCAAGCGUUGUCCGGAAUUAUUGGGCGUAAAGCGCGCGCAGGCGGCCUUGUAAGUCCGGUGUUUAAACUGGGGGCUCAACCUCCAGUCGCAUCGGAAACUGCAAAGCUUGAGUGCAGAAGAGGAAAGUGGAAUUCCAUGUGUAGCGGUGAAAUGCGUAGAGAUGUGAAGGAACACCAGUGGCGAAGGCGACUUUCUGGUCUGUAACUGACGCUGAGGCGCGAAAGCGUGGGGAGCAAACAGG